ACGCUCGACACCUACGGGGGGCAGCAGUGGGGAAUAUUGCACAAUGGGGAAACCCUGAUGCAGCGACGCCGCGUGAAGGAUGAAGUAUUUCGGUAUGUAAACUUCUAUCAGCAGGGAAGAAAGUGACGGUACCUGACUAAGAAGCCCCGGCUAACUACGUGCCAGUACGCCGCGGUAAUCUGAGCGGGCUGGCAAGGC
rnacentral:rRNA from 1 species